AGUGAUAACUGCUUUAGCUUGUGUGAAAUAAAGGCUGGAAUACACUGAUCAGCCACCACAGUAAAAGAAGAAAAUAAACCGCCUGUGGUUCUUAUAGAAAUAGAAACAAAAAAAAAAAAGAAAAAUGAAAUCUAAACCUAAAAUAGAAGGAACGUACAAACCUAAAAAGAACAGAUAAUUUUUUGCGCUGAAUCUUGUUAGCAUGAGCACAGCCGGCAAACUGGCUGAUGUGAAUGGGCACAUAACCUUUUGACAGCAGCACAUGCUGAACCUAUUAUCCGGAAGCAGUGCCAGG